rnacentral:piRNA from 1 species
UGAAAAACGGGUUUGUUUUUG